AAUAGAUACCCGGGUAGUCCACGCCGUAAACGUUGGGCGCUAGAUGUGGGGACCAUUCCACGGUUUCCGCGUCGUAGCUAACGCAUUAAGCGCCCCGCCUGGGGAGUACGGCCGCAAGGCUAAAACUCAAAGGAAUUGGCGGGGGCCCGCACAAGCGGCGGAGCAUGCGGAUUAAUUCGAUGCAACGCGAAGAACCUUACCAAGGCUUGACAUAUGCGAGAACGCUCUAGAAAUAGAGAACUCUUUGGACACUCGUAUACAGGUGGUGCAUGGUUGUCGUCAGCUCGUGUCGUGAGAUGUUGGGUUAAGUCCCGCAACGAGCGCAACCCUCGUCGCAUGUUGCCAGCACGUAAUGGUGGGAACUCAUGUGAGACUGCCGGGGUCAACUCGGAGGAAGGUGGGGAUGACGUCAAAUCAUCAUGCCCCUUAUGUCUUGGGCUUCACGCAUGCUACAAUGGCCGGUACAAAGGGCUGCGAAACCGCAAGGUGGAGCGAAUCCCAAAAAGCCGGUCUCAGUUCGGA
rnacentral:rRNA from 1 species